AACGAACGCUGGCGGCAGGCUUAACACAUGCAAGUCGAGCGGGCAUAGCAAUAUGUCAGCGGCAGACGGGUGAGUAACGCGUGGGAACGUACCUUUUGGUUCGGAACAACUGAGGGAAACUUCAGCUAAUACCGGAUAAGCCCUUACGGGGAAAGAUUUAUCGCCGAAAGAUCGGCCCGCGUCUGAUUAGCUAGUUGGUGAGGUAAUGGCUCACCAAGGCGACGAUCAGUAGCUGGUCUGAGAGGAUGAUCAGCCACAUUGGGACUGAGACACGGCCCAAACUCCUACGGGAGGCAGCAGUGGGGAAUAUUGGACAAUGGGCGCAAGCCUGAUCCAGCCAUGCCGCGUGAGUGAUGAAGGCCCUAGGGUUGUAAAGCUCUUUUGUGCGGGAAGAUAAUGACGGUACCGCAAGAAUAAGCCCCGGCUAACUUCGUGCCAGCAGCCGCAGUAACAC
rnacentral:rRNA from 1 species